AUCAGAGAGAUGCAGUCAUGAGGGUCAGGUGUGGUAUCCGGAAUAACGUGGGAGGCUAGAUUGAAGUUCAUGCCAGGAACAAUGGUAAUUGUGGGAGACUCAACAAAGAGUGAGUAUAGCUGAAGGAGCUGGGGAGCAGAAAGUAUAUGCGUCAGGUGUGAGGAAGAAAAUAGAUUUUGGAAGUUAUGAGAAAUGUAGAGUGAGUUGAGCAUAGUUUGUGAUUUUGAGGGCCUCUAAAAGUAUUAAAGCAGCGGCAGCCGCUGCACGCAGACAUGAGGGCUAGGCUAAAACAGUAAGGUCAAGUUGUUUGCACAGAAAGGCUACAGGGUGCGGUCGCAGCUCUUGCGUAAGAAUUCUGCCCGCACUAACCAUGCCUAGGAAGGAAACGAGUUGUUGUUUUGUAGAAGGGAUUGGGGUUUGGGAGAUUAGCCGGACACGAUCAGCAGGGAGAGCACAUGUGUUUUUAUGAGAAUUAUGCCGAGAUAGGUAACAGAUGAGGAAGAAAUUUGGGCAUGACUGAAGUAAUGGGGGCUGUCUGUGAAGACUUGCGGCAGUACAGCCCAGUUUACCUGUGAUGUGUGGCAUUUCCUACAUGUUGCUGUCAAUCAUGAAAUCCACCUCAAAAACCCCAAAUCCUUCAUUCUUACUGGAGGAAUAUGACCUCUCUACAAAGGAAACUAUUCUCAAUGUUGUGAGACACCAGACAUGCAGCCAGAGGAACUUAAUGAGGGCCAAGUUACCAGCAUAAAUGAGAAAAGUGGCUGUAAUGAGAUGUGCUGGAGUAAGUAACUCCUGAAAACAAAUAUCACGUUAGAGGAGCUACUGAAGGAUUUUCACAAUAUUAGAAGCAAAAGAGAUAAAAUGUUGAAAGCUGACUCAAACCUAGAAGAAAGGAUGGCAAUUCACUAAGGCAUGGAAAAGACCCUUGUUCCAUAUAAAAGGAGAAGGUAAUCAAUGUUUGAACUACUCUUCAUACUUCUUGUUUUUAAACAAAUUGUUUGUCAAUGUUUCAAGUAUUUCCAUUUAGCAUACACUAAAUAAAUAUUACUUUUACUGUCUCUUCAUUCCUUUUUAUGUAUGUUACUGACAAUCAAAGAAUUUCUAAUAGUUUGGCAAGUUUUUUUUUAAAAGGUCACAGAACUAUCAAUUUUUCACUUUGAAUUCUAAUAGCAGCUUGGCAUUAGCUCAUACUCUCAAUUUUACAGUCCACAGUGAAGACCGUCCAUUGUUAUAUGACACUGGAUAAACUACUCGUCUGCUCAAUUCAAUUAAAUAAUUCAGAAAUGCAGCAAUACAACAAAUAUAGAAACAAUCAACAACACCUUACUUGUGUUUACUAUUAUUUAUCAUAGUG
rnacentral:lncRNA from 10 species